UCUCCGUUGGUGAACCAGCGGGGGGUUCAUUACCGAGUUUACAACUCCCAAACCCCUAUGUGAACGUUACCAAACUGUUGCCUCGGCGGGAAAUUCAUGCCCCGGGCGCGUCGCAGCCCCGGACCAAGGCGCCCGCCGGAGGACCAACCAAAACUCUUUUGUAUGUCCCUCGCGGACUUUUAUAAUUCUGAACCAUCUCGGCGCCCCUAGCGGGCGUUUCGAAAAUGAAUCAAAACUUUCAACAACGGAUCUCUUGGUUCUG
rnacentral:misc_RNA from 1 species